AACGAACGCUGGCGGCGGGCCUAACACAUGCAAGUCGAGCGGACACUCCGUGGUUAGCGGCGGACGGGGGGGUAAGGAGUGGGAACGUGCACUUUGCUUCGGUAUAGUUGUGGGAAACUGGGCGUAAUAAAGGUGACGCUCAUUCGGGGUAAGAUGUCUCGGUGCAGGAUCGGGGUGGGUUGGUUUAGGCGGUUGGGGGGGUAAUGGCGGACCAUGCCGACGAUGCAUAGCUGGUUGGGGAGGAUGACCAGCCACACUGGGACUGAGACACGGCCCAGACUCCGACGGGGGGCAGCAGUGGGGAGUCUUAGGCAAGGGGGGAAGCCCUGAUCUAGCCGUGCCGCGUGAGAGAUGAAGGCCUUAGGAUUGUAAAGCUCUUUCACCGGAGAAGAUAAUGACGGUACCCGGAGAAGAAGCCCCGGCUAACUCCGUG
rnacentral:rRNA from 1 species